AGGAUGUCUAGUUAAAUUUAAAUUUCAGAUAAACAACAAGUAAUUUUUGGUCUAAGUAUAUCCUAUGCAGUUUGGGACAUACUUAUACUAAAAAAUUACUUGUUGUUUAUCUGAAAUUCAAAUUUAAGUGAGUAUCCUGUA
rnacentral:miRNA from 1 species